rnacentral:rRNA from 1 species
UACGUAGGGGGCAAGCGUUGUCCGGAAUCAUUGGGCGUACAGCGCGUGUAGGCGGCCAGGUAAGUCCGUUCUGAAAGCCCGGGGCUCAACCCCGGGAGGCGGAUGGAUACUGCUUGGCUCGAGUCCGGAAGAGGCGAGUGGAAUUCCCGGUGUAGCGGUGAAAUGCGCAGAUAUCGGGAGGAACACCAAUGGCGAAGGCAGCUCGCUGGGACGGUACUGACGCUGAGACGCGAAAGCGUGGGGAGCAAACAGG